rnacentral:rRNA from 1 species
UACGGGGGGGCAAGCGUUGUUCGGAAUUACUGGGCGUAAAGGGUUCGUAGGUGGCUUGUUAAGUCAGACGUGAAAUCCCUCGGCUCAACCGGGGAACUGCGUCUGAGACUGAUGAGCUCGAGUGCAGGAGAGGAACGCGGAAUUCCAGGUGUAGCGGUGAAAUGCGUAGAUAUCUGGAGGAACACCGGUGGCGAAGGCGGCGUUCUGGACUGCAACUGACACUGAGGAACGAAAGCCAGGGAGCAAACGGG